UCUGAAUGCAGUUUCCCCAGCCUGGCACCCAAGUGGGUACUGCCUGUGACAGCUGUGCUGUGUGGCAAGGACCUCUAGGCUUGGGAUGCUCUUUUAGGAAUGGGGGUGACGUGGGGUGGAGGAGUGGCAGUCUACACUGUUUUACUGGCUAAAACAGCCAGAGCCUAUUGCUCUUUGUCAUACUGGGCCUCACUUGAGCCUCAAAGCAACCUCAUGAUGUAGCUACCAUUAUUUUCCCUGUUUUGCUGAGUCUCAGAUAAACUAAAUAAUAUUGUCUCUGAGUGACAUGGCUAAUAGGUGGUGGCAACCAGUUAUAUACCCAGUGCAAUAUUAUUGUGAAAUCUCUGCACUUCAACCCUAAACUUUUACAAAAAACCAGGGGGUCUGCUUUUCAGGUCUGAAAGUCAGUAGGAACUAGGGGAAAUGAAGCUUGUGUUUUUUAACAGGUGGAAAACACUUCAGCACAACUGGCAAACUCCAAUGAGACCUUACAUGAAAGCAGUUUUACCUACAUUCACUGGCAGGAGGGAAGAACCUGGGUGGUGACCCUGGGCACUGGGAAUAUCCUCUGGCACCAGAACAGAUUAAUAACCUUAAUGGCAACUUUGUGAAAAUAAUAAUUUUUUCAGUCCUGCAGCUAACCCUGGGUUUUCCUGAUUUACUUUUUAGGGGGCAGACGCCAGUAUUUCUGACCAACAGCUCCAGUCGCCUGUGUACAUGGAAAUUAUAACUUACUUUUUCAGCAUCUUUUCGAUGAUUUUCUUAACCAUGGGCGAUGCGGGGUUGAGACAAGCUUUCUGCCCAUUCUUGAGUGUGGCUCUGCAGAGAGAAGGGAAUCUCGUGAGACAGGAGGUCGGGCUGAGGACAGGGUUUGGGGCAGCGGGAGAGUCGGGGACCCCAGCAGUGGCAGCGGCAGCGAUGGGCGAGACUUACAUGACUUCGGUUUGGGCGCAGUGGGGUCCGGGGGACUUCACCUUCACACUUUGGAUGUUCUUGAGGUGAAUUCCCUGCAGGGUCUGCAAGCACUGGCAGCGCAGUUCAGUGGCCAGGGGCGCUCCUAGGGAAGAAGAGACUCGCUGAUUGAGCGGCUGUGCGAGGAGGAGAGCUGGCAAGGAGCUGCCUGUGGCCCGGGCUCUGUG
rnacentral:lncRNA from 10 species